AAAAAAGGUAAGCUACUAAGAGCGAAUGGUGGAUGCCUUGACUGGUAAAGGCGAUGAAGGACGUACUAGACUGCGAUAAGCUACGGGGAGCUGUCAAGAAGCUUUGAUCCGUAGAUUUCCGAAUGGGGCAACCCAAUGUAUAGAGAUAUACAUUACCUAUAUAGGAGCGAACGAGGGGAAUUGAAACAUCUUAGUACCCUCAGGAAAAGAAAUCAAUAGAGAUUGCGUCAGUAGCGGCGAGC
rnacentral:rRNA from 2 species